UGAAACUUAUCUCUCAUUGUUGCUGCCUCAUUGCUUUUGCUUAGAUAUGUUUAUUUCAUACCAAUGUGUGGACCAUAGCAAAUUAUAGUUCUAUGACAUCUAUUCAAGUAAUGGAGUAAUGAUAAAGAAAGUUGAAAUACUGAAAACAAACUUCCACUAACGCCAUCCUUAGAAUAUUUAUCCUUUGACUAUUACACCAUGCCUUUUAUGGAAUCUCUCUCCCUUCAUAAGGACUGUUUCGGUAUCUUAUUUAGAGUAUUAUUUACGUUGAGAAAUAUACUGAGAUGUAAAUCCUCCAGCCCUUAGCUGGUAAACUCUUCACACUGUAGAUUCUUACCUGAUAUUUACACUCGAUGACCACUCUCGUCUACCUUCCUCAUUUUUAUGUAUGCACUCGACUUCUAACUGUAAGAGGUGGCGUUCUCCAUUUUGCUCUUCCUUGAAUAUAUGUGAACUGUAGAAUAUAACUUAGGAAAAGUUUUCAUUGCCUCGUCAGUAUGGAUACUUCUCUAAUUCUUUGUAACUGCUCCAGUUUCGUUUUAGAAUGAUGUGGGUAUAGCAACAAUCUAAAAUGUUUAGUUCAGAAAAUUUUUAGUGUGAACAAUAAGUAGAUGGUGAUACUAAAGAAUUCUUAAGAAUUUCUCCUCGAAGCUACAGCUUGGCUAAAGAAACAUUUUAUUGAUAGAUGAAAUCAAAGAACUCCAAAACACCAAAGAAAAGAGACAAAGAAAGGUGUUUACAAAAGAGACUGCCAAUUAGUAACUAAGAAAGAUAAAAGUAUUAUGUUUGAAAGGAAAAGAAAGAAAAGAAAAAGCAAAAAGAAAGUGAUGUACCCUUGAGCAGUACGAUCUACAAGUCGUAUUUUAUCCAAAACUUCCCUAUGGAAUCCUAUCUAACCCAUCUUAGGAUCUGUUUAGAUUGACUAGAGAAAAAAUGUUUUUUCAAAAAGUCAUUUUUAUCCUAGGUUGGCCGUUGGCGGCAACUGGCGAGAGAGAUGGCUGGCGUUGGCAACUGGAAGAGGGUUAGGGCAGAGAGGGUUGGUGGUCUCCUGGGGAGAAUCGGAGAAGAGAAGGUGGAGUGCGUGAAGCUUUUCGUUUUAAGAGAAUAAGAAAAAAAACCCUAAAAAUUAUUGCCAUUGGGCCGGACUAAUGUGCCGUUUCUAUGGGUUUUUUUUCCAGCCAUGUUAGGACCGUGUUCAAAAUUUUAAAAAAAUCGACAUGCCAGCUGGUGUGUCAGUGUUGGAAACGUGUUCGACACUGAUACUUGGCCAUCUUAGGAGCGUCGAUGCUUCUUAGUUUUUAUUUAAACUCUUUUGAUAAAAAUAUUUAAAAUAAACUUUAAAAGUGUUUCAAAAGCUAUUUUGAGUAGUUGGUAAACUCUUUGGUUUUUCUCCAAAUAACUGCAAAUUAAGUGAUUGGAAAGUGAAAACGAACCCACGUGGGAUUAUUUGCACUGCAGAAGUUGAAUUCUUGUUACGUGCAGGUGAGUACAAAUCCAAGUGCCGUUGGUGGGUGUAGUUGUAAAAGUUCUUUCAUGGUCAAACAAUAAUCAUCUCAAAGCUUCCUUCAGUUGGACCCUUUCCUACAAGGCGUACACAAUUAUCAACGCUGACCUGAAGGUAUGAUGAGUAUGUUUAUCACUCAGUUACACUACUGAUUAUAAACCUAUGUUUUAUUUAAUCCCAUUUUAUGUAUCAUUUUAUACAUUCAUAUUUAUGUACCACUUCUGUAUCAUCUGGGAACUGCAUUCUUUGUUGCAUUGAAAUCCAAAUAAGCAAAAUAUAAACUGAUUCAUCAUAAUCAAACUUGAACUUAAGACUUCCCUGUUAUUCUGAUGUUGAGUUUGCAAUAAUUAAUUACACUUUGUACAUAGAAAUUUCCACGACACUGGAUUCAUCUACUGAGUAAAUCACUUGCAAUAUUGUAAUCGCAAUCACUAGUGGAUUUACUAUGGACCUAAAGGUGCUCGAGCCCCCCUCAACUAUAUGAUAUAUGUAUAUAUAUCUAAAUUUGACAUUGUAUCGAUACAAUUAGCUAGCCUGACGGUAAAUCUGGCUUCCAGCCCCUCUAGACUCUUUACAUUUGUUUUCAUAUUAUUUUUAUUGGUAUAUGAAAUUUUCGUUAAUAAAAUUUCUGGAUCUGCCACUAGUUGUAAUCGCGUAUAAUUCUUUCGGAUAUGACUAUCAGUAUCAACAUCACUAGAUUUAGAGGAUAAAUUACUGUUGAGAAGAUGCCACGAUAUUCUUGUUUUUAGAAUCCUAAUUAAACCUAUUGUUUCUUAGAAGCUCAUUAUUGAGGUAACACCAUAUGUUUAGGUAUAUGAAUGUGAUUUUGAUAUAGUUAAAAUCAUGCUUUUAAUUCUUUAAAAUCAAUUUUGAUAUAUGAAAAAUACAUUUAAAAGUGAAAAAUUAAACCUCAAAAUGAUUAUGAAUGAUUAGAAUUAUUUUGUGGAGUGAUUUUAAACCUAACAAAAGUGAUUUUAAAAUUUUCAAAAUCACAUUUUAAUACUUUUUUUAUUUGAUACAUGGAGUUAGGGGGAUAGAACCUCUAACUUUAAAGUUAAUAGUAUAAAAGUUAUGUUACCUAAAUUAUGUUCAAUUUUAAGAUCAUUAAUUUCUAAGCAUGCACGUAUGUGAGUUUGUCAAGGUCGUCAUUAUUAAGAAUCUAAAUUAAUUUCAUACCUUUUAUAUCUAAUAUAAGGUUUGUCAAUGCGUAUUAGAAUUGUUAAAGCAAAUAUAGAUCGGUAUAUUAUUUGAUUUUAACAAUUAUUUGUUUUGCAAGGACAAAGAAAUGUGUAGGGUCCCCUUACUUGAAAACAUGUCCUAAGGUAUGAGUUUGUGGACAAUAAAGGUGGAAGCCAUGAUGGCAAAGCACAUGCUUACUGCACAAACAAAAUAGUAUCACAUUAUGAAGCUUACACCUUUUCAUUUCAUAUUUGGUUAUAAAAUGGAAACUUAUGGUAAACCAAUGACAUUAUGAGUUUGGAAUUUUGGUGAUUUUUGGUUUUGAAAUGAUCACGCCAUCUUUCUUCUUUCUCCAUUCUUAUCUUUUACGAUGGAUUAUAAACUUUUCUUUUCCAAGCAGUGUUUUAAAAAGCUCUCUUCACCAUAGACGCAUUUGGAGGCAGACCUUUUGUGAAGCUCCAACCCUCUAAACUUUUGGUUCUGAGGCUUUAUCGUUUUUUAAAAUAGUUAUAAUUAAAAUGUUUACCUUUCAAGGUUUGGACUUUGGAGUCUCACUUUUCGUAAGACUCACAAAAUAAGGUCAACCUUUUGUGAAGCCCCAAUGUACUUUUAGUUGAGUUUUUUUUUCCCAUUAUUUUCAACAAUGAUAAUAAUUAAAGUCUUCUUUUUCAUUAAAAAGAAGAAUCAAAUUCACUAAGUUUAAAUGGAAGAUUCCUUCAUGUUUAUUUUUUUCCUGCCCUCUUCUUUUAUAAACACGUUAAAGAAUAUAUUACUAGUAUGCAAUCAAUAUUGUCACUUCAUAUGAUUUCUAAGACAUUUUUUUUUUAACAUAAUAAGAGUAGAAAAGUUUGAACAGUGGACCUAUUGAUCGUUAACAUAUGUCUAUGUUAGUUAAAUUAUGCUUAUCAGAUUUUUUUUUUUUUGAAAUUGUUGUAUGUUAUUUUAUGAUAUUAGUUUGCAGCAAAACAAUUGUUUUAAGUUUUAUAAUUUAAUUUCAAUCAAUUUGUUUACUUGAAAAAUAGUGGAGAUAAAUUAAUUUUGAAUAUUGAAAUAUAAUAACUCAUAUAUAUUAUUUGGAAGAUAUUAUGAUGAGAUAAUAGGAAGGAAGUCCAAUAUGUUAUAUAAAGAAUGAGGUAUGAAGCUUGAAAAGGCAUAUUGCUAUAACCAACCAUCAUUAUUUGGCUUUCACAAGUAGAUUUGCAAACACAAUGUCAAGAUUUCAAUGCCAAUUUGAUUUUACUAAAAUUCCAUGAAGUGGAAUGAUCCUUUUUUUUUUCCUUUUAUAUUAAUAAGAAUAUGUUAAAUACUUUUGAACUUUUUAAUUUCAAAUUUGUAUUUAGAAACAUUUUGACUUACCAAUUUUUAAUUUCAAGUUCUUUGUUUUUGUGUUUUUGUAUAUGAUCGCUAGAGUUAGAUGUUGAAAAUGAUUGAUGUAAUUGGUCAAAGUUCACCUCUAGAGAUGGUAGCUACGCGAAGUUGAACGUUAGAGACGAUCGAUAGAGGUGAUUGUCAAAACAUGUUGCUUGAGUGAGACAGUAGUAGUUGACUGUGGUUGUUGUCAAAGCAUGCAUGUCACCAACGAUAAUGCUUGUUGAUGGAGUUUGUCGUCGGCGAAAGUUGAUAGGUGAAGUUGUAGAAACAUUUUGAGAAGAGAGAGGAAGAAAAAAGUGUAAGAUAAGAAGAUAAAGUUUCUCGAUAAAUGUGCAAACUUGAACUUCAACUAAGAAUAAAAGCAGUAUUGAGGUUGGUGAGAUUGAGUUAUUUAAACAAACUUGUAAAGUUGAUAUAUUGAACACUAAGUUGAGUUUUCGACUCAACUAAACCUUCGUCAAUGAUCCCAAACAUCUCAUAGUCAUUUUUAUAAGAAAAAGUACCAAAUACCAUAAAUAGAAUAUUGAUCAUAACCGUGAAGAAAUUGAGAUAAUGUGUGGUAUUACUUAAUCAUAUGCAACCCAAACCAAAUAUGACAAUCCUCACUAUCAUCAAAUGAGUAAUCAAAACACUCAACCUACAUAGCCUAUUGGGAGAUCACAACCUAAGUUACAUACUUCUUUGGUUUAAUUUUUAUAUUUUUACGAACGAUUUAUUUUGGUCUAUGUACUUUGAACAAUUUAUGAAAUUACAUGUACCAAAGUAGUAUUUAAACGUUUAUUUUUUAAGAAUGUCAACACAUAGGGUGUGUAAAUCUCAAAAUUACUUUUUCCUUUACCAAAAUCACUUUUCAUUCAAAUGAUUGGGUUUUACAUUGACAAAAAUUGAUUUUAGAAAAAUAUAAAAUCAUUUUAAAUUGAUUUGCGAUGAAUUAAGUGAUUGAUGGAAAAUCGCUCCUAAAAUGUGAUAGAACUAAGUCAUGCACAGCGGAAAAAGAAUCGAAUUUCUACCAUAAUUGCCACAAUUAACAUCUAACCAUAAACUAAUCAAAUUAGGGUUUUAAGAAGUAUUACCUUUGAAGCUUUCAAAAGGUUUGAUGUCUUCUUACCAAUUCUACCCGAGACCACCACUAGUACUCAACUGCUAUCCUCUAGACAAAGAACCGGGUUGUGGGACCCAAUUUUGGUGUAGAAAGUAAUGGAGAUAAAAUGAGAUUGGAAGCUUUCUUUUUUCUUUUGUUGAGAUUAUGAAAAUGAUAAAAGAGGCAAAAGUCCUUCAACAUUUGAA
rnacentral:lncRNA from 1 species